UACAGAGGGGGCAAGCGUUGUUCGGAAUUAUUGGGCGUAAAGGGCGCGUAGGCGGCCAUCCAAGUCGGGUGUGAAAUCCCUCGGCUCAACCGAGGAACUGCACUCGAUACUGGUUGGCUCGAGUCCGGGAGGGGAUGGUGGAAUUCCCAGUGUAGCGGUGAAAUGCGUAGAUAUCGGGAGGAGCACCCAUGGCGAAGGCAGCUUACUGGGCAUUUCCUGACGCUGAGGCGCGAAAGCGUGGGUAGC
rnacentral:rRNA from 1 species